rnacentral:rRNA from 1 species
UACGAAGGGGGCUAGCGUUGCUCGGAAUCACUGGGCGUAAAGCGCACGUAGGCGGCUUUUUAAGUCAGGGGUGAAAUCCUGGAGCUCAACUCCAGAACUGCCUUUGAUACUGGGAAGCUUGAGUCCGGAAGAGGUGAGUGGAACUCCGAGUGUAGAGGUGAAAUUCGUAGAUAUUCGGAAGAACACCAGUGGCGAAGGCGGCUCUCUGGGACGGUACUGACGCUGAGACGCGAAAGCGUGGGGAGCGAACAGG